rfam:Gossypium raimondii Chr03_contig_655, whole genome shotgun sequence.
AUCCCAUGAUGAGGACACUUAUGAAGUAAUUCCUUGAAUCUUUCCUACGUAUCGUACAAGGAUUUGCCAUCCAAUUUUAAAAAGUGGUUAUCUCAUUUCAUAACUU